rnacentral:rRNA from 1 species
UAAGACGAACCGUCCUAACGUUGUUCGGAAUCACUGGGCUUAAAGGGCGCGUAGGCGGGUCAGCAAGUCUGGGGUGAAAUCUUUCGGCUUAACCGGAAAAGUGCCUUGGAUACUGCUGGUCUAGAGGGAGGUAGGGGCAUGUGGAACUUCCGGUGGAGCGGUGAAAUGCGUUGAUAUCGGAAGGAACGCCGGUGGCGAAAGCGACGUGCUGGAUCUCUUCUGACGCUGAGGCGCGAAAGCCAGGGGAGCAAACGGGAUUAGAUACCCCGGUAGUCCUGGCCCUAAACGAUGAGAACUAGGUUGCGGACUGAACAUGGGUUCGCAGCCGAAGCUAAAGUGCUAAGUUCUCCGCCUGGGGAGUAUGGUCGCAAGGCUG